UCACGGCCGGGGAGCCCUUCGGUGUGCUCGAUUUGUGUUUCUUUGGACUAACAAAAGUGUAUUUUCCUCGGAAUUUCUGCCACCGAAUCGCCCCGUUUCCUCGGUGAGGGAGGAGAAGAGCAGGUACUUGCGUUCGGGAGAGUUUCCAGCCGCAGACACGCGUCCUGAGUUAAAGGAGAGGCGAUAAAUCCCGUGUGCUGCUGCUGGAGAGACCUCUGAAGAGAGAAACUUUUGUUUUUCAUUGCAAAUUAAAAAUUUUCUUUCUGCAGAAAUCUUACAGCAACCACUGCAUCUUAUUCUUUAGAGGGUUUUCUUGCGAUUAAAAUCGAAAUCUGACGAUUUAAAGCUAUUUUGACAGUUUAAAUUGAUUUUGAAGAGGAGGAAGUAACACAAACUCCCCUCUCAGCUCUGAAUAUGGAUUAAGAACCGGUUCCUUUGGCCAUGUGUUUUACCUCCUAAAACGCUAAACUCUGUUGAAAUAGUGUCUCAUACCACCUCCUAUUACUCUUAUUAUAGAGCUGUAAACAAUUUGUUACUGCCUGUGAAUUCAUAAAGAUGUAGCUGUUUUGUUUGUCUUCCUGAAAUUUCACUAGAGGGUAGGCAAACUUCCCCUGCUGCCUUGUGCUUUUUUCCUUUGUUUGUUUCUCAUGUGAAUUUCUGUACCAGUUAUUAAGUAAAUCGAUAUUUCUUUUUUCCAUGUUGUGUUUCUACUUCCAGUAAACAAUCUCCCAGUACCCCGUGUUACCAAACUGCAGCUUUCUAAACUAAAGCAGCCUUCUGAACUUCUGGUUAUAUUUAACGAUAUUACUUUUGUCUCUCUGGUCAGUUAAGAUGUGGACGGCCUAAUGUAGCUCUUAUGUACUUCUGCUCUUACUGCCUAGAGAGUAUAAUCUUGUUGUAUUUUCUGUGAUAGUUACAAAAUUUUAAACAAAAUUACUCUUAAAAAAAAAAAACAACAACAAAAACAAACAAACAAACCUCUUGCACAGACAAAAAAUUAAAUAAAGCCAGUGCAGUAUCUCCUUGUCUCUCUGUAAGGAAAAAUGAAAGAUAAAAUGAACAACAGGAAGGCCCAUUUGAUGAAAAAAUAAAAGCCCGUUUAAUUCUUUCUCCUGCAUUUUACAGUCACAGUAAGGAGGAACUGUUUUCUUGACAAGAACCACAGCUCUUUGUGAUAACCUGGGUUUCAGUUAGGGGAGUGGUAGGCCAUAGUUCAUCCCUAAGCACCAGGAAGAAUUCAAUCAAUACUGAUGUCUGAUUGGAGGUAAUGAAAUCUAUUGACAAGAAUGGAGCUCUGGAACAAUUUUUUCAGCAUCUGUAUCUGAUUAUAAAGUAUGUUAUCUGUUGACUUCAAUGGUUACUUAAGAAUAACACAAAUACUGUAAAAUCAACCUUGCCCUCCCAUUUUUUUCGACAUAACCAGAUCCAACAUGGAAUUUAAACACUGAAUUCAUGCAGAUACUAACAACCAUGAUGUCAGAUUUUAUGAACGUAUAGUUUUAAGUUAAUGCAAUCCUCUUUUCUCCUCAUUUUUUUUUUUUAUUUACAGCCUCUAUGAUAUCAACACUAAACAUGUAUAUAAUGUGAAUACGUUUGUUUUCCUCAAAAUCGGGCUUCAUUGAGUACAAAAGUCACAACUAAAUGAUGUGAAGAUUAAAUUAGGAAAAAAAAAAAAUCAACAAUUUGCAUCCUAGAAGAGGAAAACACAAAGCUAAUAUAAGGUUGCAGGAAAAGUGCAUCUGAGCUCUGUGUGAGCUCUGCUACAGCAGGAAGAUGAUGGAUAGAAGGAUAAAUCCUACUGGAGCUUUCAGAAUCUUGUUUGUAAAAAUUAUGCAACAUUAGAUAUGGACACAAGACUGAAAUAUAUCAGAGCGAAUGUGGAUACUGAAGAAAUAUCUUUAUGAGCUGUCGAAAGUGAAGUAAAAAAAUAAAUGUUUUUCUUAACUUGUGCCCAUAAAUCAGUGAAUAAGAUGUUGUAGUGACUUGAUUGCAUGCGCAGUGCAUAGCAGGACUUUGAGGACAUAACGCUUAGCACCUACUGGGACAAUUCACUACAUAUCCAGGCAGAGGAGAAGUGUAGAUCACAAGUGACACGCCUGUGACAGGAAAACUGUUCCUGCCCACUCUUAUUUUGAAUUCAUAUACGUUCACUUCAGCCACCUUUAUUUGAGAAGAUUUAAAUACUCCAUCCUUCAGUUGUGGCUCCACAGAGGCUUGAUUCACGUUUACUGGUAGCUGAAAUGGAAGUGUUUACAAUGAUCACCAUCCCAGUUGGGGGAUUCCUCCACUUUUCUCCCGGCAUUUGUUACCCUCUUAUGUUCUCAACAGAAGCAGCCAAUAAUAUAUACAGCAGCGUCUGAUCUGCAACAGUUGUGGUUUAUCACUCUGAAACUGAAGUGACUUCAGAAAUUUCAAGACACGGGGAUAAGCUCUGCCCUUUCUUUUCUAAUAGCUCUGCAGUGAAGGUAGAAAACAACUUUAGCGUGCAGAAUUGAUACUGGGAACAUGUCUUCUCCACAUGAAAGAAAAACAUGCAGGACCAACAUUUUGGAAAGCUAAGGUGCAUUUGACAGUUAGAAAAAGAGUUUUGUCCACAGUCAGAACAGGUAGGGAAGAAGGAACAGAAAUACGCAGUCAGGCAAGGCAGAAAGGUGGUAAAGGAUUAUAAAGAAGGCAAGAAUGACAGUUUCAGCUCUAGGUGAGCAAGUCUGAAAGGUAAAUAAUCUUAUUUUUGGCAUCAUAGGUGUUUCAGUCAUCAUUCAUCACAGAAAGACUUCAACAAGAAAGCACCCUGUUGACUCUGGCAUGCAUUUUGGUUUUCCCAAUGAGGAGACCAGAGGGAGGUAGACUUCCUCACUCAUUAAAAGAGGAGGAGAAUGACAUCAGAAUCUCCAGAGAUACUCUUGGAGAGAGUAAUAUCUGCUACAUCUGAAUGACUUCAGUUUUUCCCACCUUCUGGGCAGUGCAGCAGAUCUCAAUACAUCACAAACCUGCACAAGAUUGCUAUCUGAACACUGCAAGUCUCUUCCCUCCAGGUGCCCAUCUCUGUCCAACUUUCGCAUUUUCGUGUUCAGGCCUCCUGGCAUAAGGAAGGAGAAUUGAGCCACAGGAUGGUGCAGCACCUGAGAGCUAUCAGACAUUCCCAUCUCUGUCUCAGGACCUGCCAGCACUUGCUCCUCAGAAAAUGAGCUUUGGGUUAUAUUUAGAUAUACGUGCAACAAAGCAAGGUAACACGGCAGUUAUUCUUCUCAAGCAGUUUUGUUAGGAAGCAUUUGCAUGAGAGCUAACCACACAAACACGGCUAAUGGCUCUACCACCAGUGUAGAAUGCUCUGAUCAGCUCCUUGCAGGCAACUGGAGGAACAGCAGUGGGUGCGCCUGAGCAGUUUGGCCCCUCUCUUUCCUCCAACAACAAUUUCCAGAGAGAUUUAGGUAAAGGUCCUUACGUGCUGCUUUCCCAUGUACAUGUUCCCCGGGUACGAGGUACAAAUACUUCCUGCAAUGACGAUUACACUCUUAUUACAAUGUUACACCCAUGUCUAACUUGCCCUCAGUGACUUCACCCUUAUGCAAGUUACAAAUGUAAUAACUCUUGUGAACAAACCAGCCAGCACAGUUUAACAGCUUUUAACCCUUAGCUAAGCAAUUUUAAAGUGGUACCUACAGAACUACAAACUCAUUGAAGUUCUUUGCCUACAUAAUAUCAAUGUUGCUGCUGAUGUUGUUAAGAUUCCUAAAUGUAAUGAGGCCACCAAGAGCUUUUUAAGUCAGUGUACAGCUAAGCAUCUGCAAUGGGCAAGACAAGGAGGGUAUGGCAGUGGGUGACUGUCCCUGCAGAUUCAGCUUCCUGGAAUGUUGCACACUCCUCCUUGUUCUUUUUGGUUUAAGGAUGGGGCUCUUAUUGAGGCCUCCCUUCAUCAUCAUCAUGCCGUGUCCUUUUGGAACUGAAAAUUUACAAAUCUAUCCAAAUAGAUACAGAUAUGGCAGUAGAGGUUUCUUUUCAUGGGGAAGGGAAAACAAGCAGCAAAAAAUCUGGAAUCAAAGGUUUUCCCUGAUGCAAUGGGCAGAAAAGAUGCACUAUGCUCCAUACCAUAGAGAACUCCCCUGCACACUUUUGACUAUUUGACACAUUUUUACUUUUUUCACAGACAGUCAAGGAAACAUCGUAUCAGCCAGCUACCAAAGAACAGAAUCAUCAUUGUCUUAAAGUACUUUGGUCUUCUAAAACUAAACUAAGGUAUUUGACAAAAUGUCUUCUGGACCACCCUGGCAUACUUUGAAUGUAGCCACCAGCCAGAGACUGAGAAUAUCAGGCCUUGAGGCAAGCUGUCUCUGACAGGUAAACAAGAUUAACAGAAGCUUGAACAAUUGUGGCUUCUCCCAAAAAUCCUUCCCACGUGGAUUGACAGUGCCUCUCUUCCACCCACAUUUAAUAUCAGUGAAUGCCACCAAGAAAAUGUGCCACCCACUGUCCCUUCAGAGCAGUCUCUCCAGCAGCACUGAAGCCAGACUGCUCUGAGCAGCAAGCAGCCCACACAGAGCAAUGCUGAGCAACCCGCUCUUCCACCCCACAACCCCCUGGCAUUUCUGCACACUUUCUGCUCUCCACCCUCUUCUACCUGUGUGCCUGUGCUCCCUGUGGUUAAGAGCUGUAAGAGCUGCUAGUAGGGUACAACAUGACCUAGAUGCUCCCUCACGUCCAUCCAGAGUUGUGUUUGACAAGUCAAGGGGUGACUUUGAGACCGUAGAAACAUACAGAGCAGGUCCAUAGUCCAUAAGACAUGGCUUAGUGGGCAAGGUGGUGAUGGAUUGAUGGUUGGACUAGAUGAUCUUUUUCCAACCAUAAUGAUCCUCUGAUUUUGAGAUCUCUCUGGCUGGAGCCACCCCAGGUGGCUGACGUGACAAAACAUGGGAUGUAUUUUUUUGUCAUUUUUUUGUCAUGCAGCCAGUGACAGUGGCACCCAAACACAAUGCAGCCUGGGCACUUGCCACCACUGAGGGCCAAAACACUGUCACAUGCUGUGGUUUACUGAGAAGUGUGGGGGUCAAUCAGGUCCUGACUGCAGAUAAGGCUUUGUGUCACCAUUCUAGAGCAGGACUAUCAUCAGGUAGCACCUGGAUGCCAGCAACAUAGGCUGGCUUUCUUCCAUUAGAAAUCAGCUACAUGAUUUUGAAGAGGUAUUCAGUGCUACGAUGUAGCUUAUGUUUUACAGCCUGUGCUUCCCAGCUGUGCAAGCCAUGUGCUGCUGCCAGAGGGGCACAAUCCCUGGUUAGGAGAUCACCCAGACUAAUAGGAACACCAGUAGGAAGGGCUGGAGCUCCUAUAUUCCCACAGCUAGCAAAUGAGAGUAGACACUGAGUGCUUCUGCUGUCAGACUGUUAGGAACUCAGGAAUAGGGCAUCAUAGGCAGUUAGGGAUAUGUGCACAGUGCAUGUUUGAGGCCCAGUAUGUUGUGAUUUCCUAUAUUUUGCCUGCAACAUAGUGCAUGCACACUAGUCUGAAAAAGUCAAAUGUAUUAGGCUUAAAUCUUUGCCUUCAUGACACAGGGCUUUUUUAGUGGGAUGUUUUGUUUUUCUUUCUGUUUUUAACACUGAAAAAGCAAUGAAAUUUUGGCUGAUUUAUACAUGAAAUGAGGAGCAGAAUAACAAGCCUCACUUGCAUACUGAGUUUAGAAGUCAGUAACACUUAACAUUUGGCCUAAAGAGCAGCAAACAGGUCCAGCGUUGAGCAGGUUGGAGCGGGAAUCAGCCAUCUCCAGCUGUAUGGAGGCAGUAAGCAAAGAAAAGCCAGCUGGGUUUUUGGAUUUGCCCAAAUUACAAUAGGAGGCACCCGAAAGGAAGGGAGCAUGGUCACAACAUCACACAGCUGUUGAGAAGAGGAUCUGCUGAUCAUCGGAGUAAUUUCUAUGAAAAAGGCCUUGGUAUGCUUGAGUGUACAGAAAGGAUUGCAAGGGUUCCUGCUGUAAGCUGCAUCACUGCAUGAGGCCAGAAACAUUUAUUUGCAUUUGACACUAAGGUAAGGAAUAAUAAUAAUAAUAAUAAUAAUAAUAAUAAUAAUAAUAAAUGGAGGAGGAGAGGGUUCUUGUACUUAAAACCAAUUAAUUUUGAGUUUAUUAUCUUUUUUGUUUACAAGAUGUGCUUGUUCUUUUAACAUGGUGAUUCUUGAAAAUUAUUUUAGCUCUGUGCUUUUGUCUUUUCCUUCCUUCUGGGUUGACAGUUAUUGCCUGAUGCUGAGGGAGACACUUGCUCAUGCUCCUUAACUUCAGUAUUGCGUACUCGUAAGGAAUAGAGGAAGAACACAGGGCUUAAAGGUGGAACGUGAUUCUGCAGAUGGUGGCCUCAGCCUGAAGUGGGAGAAAUGAAUGAGCAAGGUGAAGAAGGCAGCCUUGAGAUUCUGCUGUCCUUUGUCAUGGAUUCUAGAUAGAGACUGAUGUUCACA